GCUUCGUUGCGAUGAAGGAGAGAGGAAGCUGCCUUCUUUCUUUCCUCUUCCUUUCUUUAUUUAUUUCAUUAUUUUUUUUAGUAUAAUAUAGUUUUAAUUCCUCGUCAUAGAAAUGGUUUAUUAGGUCAAAAAGUCUAAAAAGUUGAAACCAAACUUUCAAAGUUUGGAGUUGGGGAGUGAUAAAGCAGGACCCACCAUUAAAAAUUCUGACCGACUAAACCGGUACCCGUUCAACACGCGUGUGCGAGUCCACCACAGACAGGAAACACGCGCUUUGAAGAACACGUGAGAGAGACUCUUGCCAGUCAAACUCUUACUACUACUACUACUACUACUACUUGCUUUUGAGUUGAGUUGAGCUGUGCUGUCUGAUUUCCAUCAAAAUCAGUGCCAAAUCCAAACGAGUGGAAACUGAGAGAUUAUGUUCGGCCUUUUCAUUAAUUGUAGUUCAAUCGAGUUUGUAUCGUAUCAUAUAAUUUGAUUUCGUUAUAAGAAACUCAGAAUAUAAA